rnacentral:rRNA from 1 species
AAUCAACGCUGGCGGCGUGCCUAACACAUGCAAGUCGAACGCGAAAGGGGAGCAAUCCCUGAUUAGAGUGGCAAACGGGUGAGUAACACGUGGGUGACCUGCCUUCGAGUGGGGAUAACCUUCGAAAGGAGGCUAAUACCGCAUGACAUACCGUGUUUGGAUACACGGAUAUCAAAGCCGGGGAUCGCAAGACCUGGCGCUUGGGAGAGGGGGCCCNCGGUCCGAUUAGCAGUUGGUGAGGUAACGGCUCACCAAGGCUCCGAUCGGUAUCCGGCCUGAGAGGGCGGACGGACACACUGGAACUGGAGACACGGUCCAGACUCCUACGGGAGGCAGCAGUGGGAAUUGUUCGCAAUGGGCGAAAGCCUGACGACGCAACGCCGCGUGGAGG